rnacentral:rRNA from 1 species
ACUGCAAGUCGAGCGAAGAUAAGGAGCUUGCUCCUUUGACGUUAGCGGCGGACGGGUGAGUAACACGUGGAUAACCUACCUAUAAGACUGGGAUAACUUCGGGAAACCGGAGCUAAUACCGGAUAACAUAUUGAACCGCAUGGUUCAAUAGUGAAAGGCGGCUUUGCUGUCACUUAUAGAUGGAUCCGCGCCGUAUUAGCUAGUUGGUAAGGUAACGGCUUACCAAGGCAACGAUACGUAGCCGACCUGAGAGGGUGAUCGGCCACACUGGAACUGAGACACGGUCCAGACUCCUACGGGAGGCAGCAGUAGGGAAUCUUCCGCAAUGGGCGAAAGCCUGACGGAGCAACGCCGCGUGAGUGAUGAAGGUCUUCGGAUCGUAAAACUCUGUUAUCAGGGAAGAACAAAUGUGUAAGUAACUGUGCACAUCUUGACGGUACCUGAUCAGAAAGCCACGGCUAACUACGUGCCAGCAGCCGCGGUAAUACGUAGGUGGCAAGCGUUAUCCGGAAUUAUUGGGCGUAAAGCGCGCGUAGGCGGUUUUUUAAGUCUGAUGUGAAAGCCCACGGCUCAACCGUGGAGGGUCAUUGGAAACUGGAAAACUUGAGUGCAGAAGAGGAAAGUGGAAUUCCAUGUGUAGCGGUGAAAUGCGCAGAGAUAUGGAGGAACACCAGUGGCGAAGGCGACUUUCUGGUCUGUAACUGACGCUGAUGAGCGAAAGCGUGGGGAUCAGACAGGAUUAGAUACCCUGGUAGUCCACGCCGUAAACAAUGAGUGAUAAAUGUUAGGGGGGUUCCUCCCCCUAUUGCUGCAUGUAAACAUUAAACACACCCCCUGGGGAGUACGACCG